CUUUUUCAAACUUAAUGGAGGCCUGAGCCAAAACAUGCAACGGUGGUGACUGGAAUAAGCUUGAAUUCAGAGAAAACUCUUAUUACAUCCUGGGGACAGUCUAAUUUGUGAGAAGAGAAAGCAAGCUGCUGCUUUACUGGGAGAACAGCCUGAGAGCACAUUAUAGGGGCACUGGGAAUAUCAGAUGGAGGAUUGCCAGUUGUGGCGCAUCCCUGAUCAUUACAGAGCUAGUGAGCCUUUGCUAAUUGGUCCCAGCUAAGGCCCUGUGUUUUGCUUUACUUGAAACUGGCUUUGCACUUGUACUUUACUGCACUGCAAGACCACAUCAAGCAGCUGGGAGUCACGGUUGAAAGUGCUACUUGAGAUACCAUUGAGGAAAAAGUUUUCUGCAUAUUUUGGUGAAAUUCAGUUCAGACCCAGAAAACCUGAAGCUAUGCCCAGGCGCUGCUGACUCCAAGUGGUGAAGUAUGGAAUAAGGAUGGCUUCUGAUCAAUGGGUUCUGUGAUUACACAUUGUUGCUUCUUGACCUCUCUAAGUAAGCUUAUGAGACAGUAUUAGCACUUGUGAUGAGUGAAAUGGGGUUGGGGAAAAUGCAAAGGCGAGG
rnacentral:lncRNA from 1 species